UGUCGCGGUUGGUUGUUCCUCUCUCCCGCUCUCUUCCGCUCCCUGCCCGUGUGCUUUUUGCUUGCGUCUGGUUCUAGAUCUAGUGUAAUUUGUUCUGCACUUGCAGUGUAAUUUGUUCAUCAAGGAAUUCAUCGUCUCCAUCUUGUCCAAAUUCAUGUUAUAGAAUAGGUUUGUGUCCCAGGGAUUGGAUUCUCCUCCCCCAUCUUCGCUUGCUGGUAUUUCCUGAUGCAAUCCUGCCUCCAGUGUCUA